rnacentral:rRNA from 1 species
AGUCGUUCUGCCCAUUGUUUUUGAAAGGCUGCGGUAUAUUAACUGUACAAAGGUAGCAAAAUAAAUAGUUUUUUAAUUGAAAACUUGAAUGAAAGAGUUGAUAAAAUAUAAAUUGUUUCAAAUAUUAAAUUUAAAUUAAAAGUUAAAAUGCUUUUAUUUUUUUAUUAGACGAUAAGACCCUAAGAAUUUAAUUAUUUAUUUAAUUUUAAAAAAUUUUUUUUAAUUAAAUAAUUUUAUUGGGAGGAUAAUAAAAUUGAACUUUUAUAAAUAGAAAUAUUUAUAAAUAAAUUUAAUGAUUAUUAUUAAGAUUAUUAGUAUAAAUUACCUUAGGGAUAACAGCGUAAUAAUUUUGGAGAGUUCAUAUUGAUAAAAUUGUUUGCGACCUCGAUGUUGAAUUAAAAUAAAAUUUAAAUGAAGAAAUUUAAAUUUUUAGUCUGUUCGACUAUUAAAAUUUUAC